rnacentral:lncRNA from 1 species
UUCCUUAUUGUAAAAACCGCAACCAUUAUAGUGCAUUUGCUUCCUAGAUUGGAAGGACACUGGAUAUAGGCAUUGUUGCCCGAACCAGUAUAAAAAUCUGUGUUUGCAUUUUUCUAUCCCUUAUUUUUUACAUUCCAAUCGACUUUAUUCUUUACGCAGUCAACUACGUAAUUUCCGCUGCAUACAUAUUCUGAUUGCUUGCAAUUCAAGAAAUUUCAAAAAGCUUUAUACUUUGAUUGCAAGAUUGCAAAAAGAAAGUGUUUUUGAAACAACACCAAUUCACCCCCC